GCAUUGGUGGUAGAGUCCUUGCCUUUCAUGCAAGAGACCCAGGUUCGAUUACUGGCCAAUGCA
rnacentral:tRNA from 1 species